rnacentral:lncRNA from 1 species
GGAAUUGUUACUUCAUGGUGGAGAGAUGAACGAAGAUGGAUAUUCCAUUCUGAUGAUCUCCAGAAGAGUGUUUUUACCCUGGUAAUGAAGUUCCCCUCAAACUUCACGAUGCUUUCUGAAGUAGCAUGCACAGGAGGGUAUACACAGUAGUUUCUCAUCCUUUUCAGCCUGACAUCCAUUUUAGAUGCUAAUUCCACUACUGAACUGCAGAUUCUUGUGCCGAAGGCUGUGCCCAAGGUAAGUGGACUGUACCUAGAACUGCUGCAUGGUGUUUCUUGUCCCACCUCUCCUCUGCUCUGGAUGUAAUACUUUGUAAUAGAUUGCUGGAGCAGCUGCCAAAA